GAUGAACGCUGGCGGCGUGCCUAAUACAUGCAAGUCGAGCGAACAGACGAGGAGCUUGCUCCUCUGACGUUAGCGGCGGACGGGAGAGUAACACGUGGAUAACCUACCUAUAAGACUGGGAUAACUUCGGGAAACCGGAGCUAAUCCCGUAUAAUCUCUUGAACCGCAUGGUUCAAUAGUGAAAGACGGUUUUGCUGUCACUUCUAGCUGGAUCCGCGCCGCAUUAGCUAGUUGGUAAGGUAAUGGCUUACCAAGGCAACGAUGCGUAGCCGACCUGAGAGGGUGAUCGGCGACACGGGAAGUGAGACACGGUCCAGACUCCUACGGGAGGCAGCAGUAGGGAAUCUUCCGCAAUGGGCGAAAGCUUGACGGAGCAACGCCGCGUGAGUGAUGAAGGUCUUCGGAUCGUAAAACUCUGUUAUUAGGGAAGAACAAAUGUGUAAGUAACUAUGCACGUCUUGACGGUACCUAAUCAGAAAGCCACGGCUAACUACGUG
rnacentral:rRNA from 1 species